UACGUAGGGGGCAAGCGUUGUCCGGAUUUAUUGGGCGUAAAGAGCGUGUAGGCGGCCAGACAGGUCCGUUGUGAAAACUGGAGGCUUAACCUUCAGACGUCGAUGGAAACCGUCGGGCUAGAGUCCGGAAGAGGAGAGUGGAAUUCCUGGUGUAGCGGUGAAAUGCGCAGAUAUCAGGAAGAACACCCGUGGCGAAAGCGGCUCUCUGGAACGGUACUGACGCUGAGACGCGAAAGCGUGGGGAGCGAACAGG
rnacentral:rRNA from 1 species